AGCGAACGCUGGCGGCAGGCUUAACGCAUGCAAGUCGAGCGGGCACUUCGGUGUCAGCGGCAGACGGGUGAGUAACACGUGGGAACGUACCCUUUGGUUCGGAAUAACGCUGGGAAACUAGCGCUAAUACCGGAUACGCCCUUUUGGGGAAAGGCUUGCUGCCGAAGGAUCGGCCCGCGUCUGAUUAGCUAGUUGGUGGGGUAAUGGCCUACCAAGGCGACGAUCAGUAGCUGGUCUGAGAGGAUGAUCAGCCACACUGGGACUGAGACACGGCCCAGACUCCUACGGGAGGCAGCAGUGGGGAAUAUUGGACAAGGGGCGCAAGCCUGAUCCAGCCAUGCCGCGUGAGUGAUGAAGGCCUUAGGGUUGUAAAGCUCUUUUGUCCGGGACGAUAAUGACGGUACCGGAAGAAUAAGCCCCGGCUAACUUCGUG
rnacentral:rRNA from 1 species